rnacentral:tRNA from 1 species
GGGGUUGRUUUUGUCUUAGCGGCCUUGUUGGUUGCAUCUAAUCCUUCUCCGUAUUAUGGUGUGGUGGGGC